ensembl:lncRNA
AAUCAAAGGCCAGAAGGCCACAUUCCUUUGGUGUUGUUGAUUUCACCAGUAUCUUUUGUCUGAAAGCCUGUGCUGACAGGGUAUCAGGGGAGAACUCCUGGGGUGAGUGGGGAUGAGUGAGGGCAGCCAGAUGGAUCUGCAUCCCUGUCAAACUUGGGUCAGCAAAGGUCAAGUUCUCAAGCUCCAGAGAGGACCCUCCAGCACCCCAGGAUUAGUCAAGGGGAGAGUCAGACACUCUUCACAGCACAGAAUCAACAUUAUCUAGAGCGUGACAGGGACAAGUGGAAUAUAAUACAUGGGGGUGUGCAAGGGAGGUGCUGUUCACGCCUCCAGAAAAUGGCAGGGACACAACUCUCUCCCUGCCCUGAAUCCUCACCUUUUGUCACAGGAAAUGUUCAAAAUGAGAUUUGUGUGUAGGGACAGUCAGACCAUGGUGCUGAGGUCAAGUGUAUGUGUUGGUUAAUCACAGCUUUUUUUUAGGCUAGGAUUCAAGUUCAUAUGAAACGUAGCUCACCUACACGUAGUGAGACAGAGCUGGGUAAUUUUUCUUUCCUCUUGGUGGCAAAUGGGAAUUUUGUUGAGAAAAAUGCUGGGUUUAUAGUCUAGAAACUGUUCACAGAUUUGGUAUUCAUUGAAAAGUUGUUUGGAUAAAAAAUGUCUUAAGGCACACUGACAAAACCAAAGGAAAAAAUUAUCUGUCCCUUUUCAUCUCUUAGCAUCAAGGAUGUGGGAUAGACAUCUUUUUCCUCUCUUUUUCCUGAGGUGACAUGAUCUUAACGUUCCACCAUGUUUGGGCUAUUUUGGUUGGUGAUGUUCAUGGCUGCUCCUAAGGGAGCCAGCCAGUUCUUCAUGGAGUACUCAAAUAUUUACCAAGCAGGGGCAGGGAGGGAGGGCAGGGAAUGAGGAAAAAUGAUGGCAAAUCUGUCCACAAGACAUUUACCAAAGAGAGGGAGCGUCUGAGUCACAGGAUCCGAUCUCUCGCAUAUUUGUUCAGGCAAAGAAGACUCAGGUCAGCCAAGGGAUUGAGAGCAGCUUUGAUUCCUCAUCUCCUGGUGAAAGAACUGAAGUAAGUUGGCACCAUCAAGAAGAGCCUGGAUUUGAGGAGCUGACAAAAGGAUUUUUGCUUUUUAUUACUGAAAUGCAUCCACACCUGUGUGUGAUGUAUUGGCAGAGGCUGGAAGCAGCGGUCCCAGCAGAUCCCUGCAGGUGAGUUCCACAGCGCUAGAGGGACCCAGCCCAAGAAUCAAACUGGGAGGGAAGAGCACAGACACAUGGCAUUCACUGCUACUUGAUGACUUAUGGCUGUCUUCUGCUCAGUGGUGUCUGUGUGCACAUUCAGCCCACGGCAGAAGUCAGGAAAACCAGGUGAUGUGAAACCUCAGAAAAAAGUGGCAGAAGUUAAGGACUCUUUUCAGCUCAUGCUGGCUGGGCAGUAAGAGCAUAUGCACCUACCCAGCUACCUUGGUUCAGCUGGGGUGCUUUAAUCUGGUGUUGGUUGUGCCCUUCAGUCCCAUCCUUGAACUCUGCGAAGGAAGCAACAACGUGUAACAAGUGCUGGCAGUCAUACUGGGUUUGUGUGAACAUCAAGGUUAGCAUUUCCAAAGCAUGCAGGUGACUUUUGAAACUAAAUUCAAUUACAGUUAGACUUUGUGGCUCCAAAGUGCCUUCAUUAUUUUGGGAAAUUAGAUUUUGGGCCAAGUUAAAAUAAAAUAAAAAAAUCAAUCA